rnacentral:rRNA from 1 species
AUUGAACGCUGGCGGCAUGCUUUACACAUGCAAGUCGAACGGUAACAGGGAGCUUGCUCCGCUGACGAGUGGCGAACGGGUGAGUAAUGCGUCGGAACGUGCCGAGUAGUGGGGGAUAACGCAUGGAAAGGUGUGCUAAUACCGCAUACGAACUGAGGUUGAAAGUGGUGGACCUUCGGGCCUCACGCUAUUCGAGCGGCCGACGUCUGAUUAGCUAGUUGGUGAGGUAAAGGCGCACCAAGGCGACGAUCAGUAGCGGGUCUGAGAGGAUGAUCCGCCACACUGGGACUGAGACACGGCCCAGACUCCUACGGGAGGCAGCAGUGGGGAAUUUUGGACAAUGGGCGCAAGCCUGAUCCAGCCAUGCCGCGUGUCUGAAGAAGGCCUUCGGGUUGUAAAGGACUUUUGUCCGGGAGCAAAUGCUGGUGGCUAUCAUCCACCGGAGCUGAGAGUACCGGAAGAAUAAGCACCGGCUAACUACGUGCCAGCCGCCGCAGUAAAAC